rnacentral:rRNA from 1 species
AAUCAACGCUGGCGGCGUGCCUAACACAUGCAAGUCGAACGCGAAAGUCCCGCAAGGGAUGAGUAGAGUGGCAAACGGGUGAGUAACGCGUGGGUGACCUGCCUUCGAGUGGGGGAUAACGUUCCGAAAGGGACGCUAAUACCGCAUGACAUCCCGUCUUUGAACAGACGGACAUUAAAGCCGGGGCUCGCAAGACCUGGCGCUUGAAGAGGGGCCCGCGUCCGAUUAGCUAGUUGGUGAGGUAACGGCUCACCAAGGCGACGAUCGGUAUCCGGCCUGAGAGGGCGGACGGACACACUGGGACUGAGACACGGCCCAGACUCCUACGGGAGGCAGCAGUGGGGAAUUGUUCGCAAUGGGCGCAAGCCUGACGACGCAACGCCGCGUGGAGGAUGAAGAUCUUCGGGUCGUAAACUCCUGUCGAAUGGGACGAAUGGAUCGCGAGCGAACAGCUCGCGGUCGUGACGGUACCAUUAAAGGAAGCCCCGGCUAACUCCGUGC